CGCCGCCUGGCCCGCGCCGACGCCGCUGACGCCGAGUACGCCGUAGAGCAGCUCUUCCUGCACGCGCCGGCGCAGCGCAGCGUGCUGGCCGCCCCGGCCUUCGGGCCUCUGGACCGACCGGGCAGCUUCCAGCCGUUCUUCAGCGACAUCGAGCGGAAAGACGACAGGUGCACCACGCUGGUGGAGAGGCCCCACCCUUACCUCGCAUGCCGGCCGUUGGCGUUCUCCC